GUGCCAGCAGCCGCGGUAAUACGUAGGAUCCAAGCGUUGUCCGGAAUUACUGGGUGUAAAGGGCGUGUAGGUGGGCUUCUAAGUCGGUGGUGAAAUCCUGCAGCUUAACUGUAGAACUGCCAUUGAUACUGGAAGUCUUGAGUACGGCAGAGGGAGAUAGAAUUCAUGGUGUAGCGGUGAAAUGUGUAGAUAUCAUGAAGAAUACCAGUUGCGAAGGCGGUCUCCUGGUCCGUUACUGACACUGAGGCGCGAAAGCGUGGGGAGCAAACAGGAUUAGAUACCCUCGUAGUCC
rnacentral:rRNA from 1 species